CCAAUAGCGUAUAUUAAAGUUGUUGCAGUUAAAAAGCUCGUAGUUGAAUUUCGGGAUCGAAUUGUUGGUCGUGCUUCGGUACGCACUGGCAUUAUUGGUUCCUACCUUCUGAAGAACCGCGAUGUCAUUAAUUUGGUGUCGUGGGGAAUCAGGACUGUUACUUUGAAAAAAUUAGAGUGUUUAAAGCAGGCUUACGCUUGAAUACAUUAGCAUGGAAUAAUGAAAUAGGACGUUUGAUUCUAUUUUGUUGGUUUCUAGGAUCGACGUAAUGAUUAAUAGGGAUAGUUGGGGGCAUUAGUAUUCAAUUGUCAGAGGUGAAAUUCUCGGAUUUAUUGAAGACUAACUACUGCGAAAGCAUUUGCCAAGGAUGUUUUCAUUAAUCAAGAACGAAAGUUAGGGGAUCGAAGACGAUCAGAUACCGUCGUAGUCUUAACCAUAAACUAUGCCGACUAGGGAUCGGAUGAUGUUAAUUUUUUAAUGACUCAUUCGGCGCCUUACG
rnacentral:misc_RNA from 1 species